UUGGAAACAAAAUAACUAUUCAGUACACUCGUGAAUUGACAAGCGUGGGCACUGUGAAGUCUACUUAUAAAGUGCAAGUGUUUACACCAUCGAAUGUAGCAGUGACAGUAAAACCAACUGAGCUCGUUUUCGAUAGUAUAGGAGAGAAGAAAAGAUAUAUAGUUACAAUGGUAGCAAAGAAGAAUUCAAAGCCAGCUGCUGGAGUAGCAUUUUGUUCAAUCGUUCGGAGUAAUGUUAAGAACCAAGUAAGCGGCCCAGUUGCAUAUACAUGGAUACAACUCUUAGGUUUUCACAAGUUGACCCA
rnacentral:misc_RNA from 1 species